GGCUUCUUUUCUGUGGGCGUGGCCAAGGCAGCGGGGGUUUAUGACAAAGUUGAGCGACCUCAUGUCACUCAAACCAGCUGUAUUAAGGAAGGUGCAAGCUUUUGGGAUUUCUGUUUGGAUUUAGUUUAGGUUCAAAAGAGCACGCACAGAUCCUGAGUGUUGUCAAGCACCCGUGACUGGGAAACGGAGGCGUCCGAUCCGUAUUGGAGUCAAUUCGCCACUUAAUUGAACACAGCCUCGAAGGGAAGGGCCAUAUUUGUGGGCCUGUCUAACAAUUAAGAGUGACCACAUGGAAUGGGGGAUGAAAGGGUUAAAGAAGAACAAAUAUUGAACACAGCUUUUCUAUGAACAAACUGCAGGCAGCUGCUGCUUUGCAAGGGGAACUUCUUGGCUGCCAUUUCUGGAUGUCAAGGCUGCAGAUACACUGGUCAGGACCCUGGGUAGAGAGAGAUGCGUCAGAAUGCGGCUCCUUUCAGAAAGGCUUCUCCGGAGGGUGAUAAUCUUUACCAUGUGCACAAACAUGAUGCUCUCCUGAUGUGAAAACAUUGGUACUAUGAGGCUCCCAGAAUUCCCAGCCUUUAGAACUGUUGGUGAGGUCAGCUGACUACUAGAAGACAGAUCUAUUUGAAGAUUUUUGUGGUGGUCUUUACUACUCCAGAGAUUUACAGCUGAUGAAAAAUGGAGAAGUACAUGACCCUACCCUGCUGUUGGACAUGCUACCCAAGGAUCAUGACUGACAACUUGUCAACAUCACUAUUGCUUAUUUAAUAAAUGUGCAGUACUACUUCAAUAAACCUGGAAUCAUAAAAUUUUAGAGAACAAACCUUAAA
rnacentral:lncRNA from 1 species